GCCCAGGGAGGACGGAUGUGCAAGCCCUGUCUCCAGCAAUGCCCACCAGCACAGAAACUAGAUCUCUGCCUCGAGUUUAUGAGCAGUGGUGCCGUUAGACAUUCGAAGCUUCAUUUUGGAAAAGAAAACCCUUUGCAGCCCGGUGGAGGCCUUUCCAAGGCAGCGGACAGCAGCCAUCUACAACAUUCUCAUGAAUCAGUGGGUGACAAUGGCCAGGAAGAGAUGGUAGCACAUUGGUGAAAAGUCCAGCACCCCAAGCAGGACAGAACCAGAAGGAGCUCACCUGACAUUCUGAAAGGCAUGAAGAUCUUCUCAUUGGUGUCCGGGUGUAGGAUAGCCUGAUGGUGGGGAGAGGAUGGGAGAGAAACAAGCAGAGGAUUAAGGAUGAGGACAAGGACAGCUUCCCCAAGAAGACCCUCCCACCAGUGGCUCCGUGUUGCCUCUGGACAGGUGGCUUUCAUCACUUCUCAGGAUAAAGGAAAACCCAAACGUGAGUCAUGGUCAGUGUCCGCCCCCUGGCCCAUCCUCCAGGCCCAUGGGGGCCAACACUGUGCCCACCUGGAAGUCUCCUUGCCCUCGCCUGGCACACAGCAGACACAGAAUCAGACCUGGUGAUCAGAACCCAGUCUUUUCUCAAAACUCCCAGAGUUCCUGGGGUGAGGCCAUUCAGGCCAGAAUGGGGUGCUGGGAGGAAG